rnacentral:rRNA from 1 species
UACGGAGGAUCCAAGCGUUAUCCGGAUUUAUUGGGUUUAAGGGGUGCGUAGGCGGCUUAUUAAGUCAGAGGUGAAAGACGGUGGCUCAACCAUCGCAGUGCCUUUGAUACUGAUGAGCUUGAAUACACUUGAGGUAGGCGGAAUGUGACAAGUAGCGGUGAAAUGCAUAGAUAUGUCACAGAACACCAAUUGCGAAGGCAGCUUACUAAGGUGCAAUUGACGCUGAGGCACGAAAGCGUGGGGAUCAAACAGG